UCCCACUCAUCGUGGGCAGUUUCUCCAAAGUGCGCCCUUGCGGGUUGGCAACAGGAGAUGGGGGUUGCGCUCGUUGCGGGACUUAACCCAACAUCUCACGACACGAGCUGACGACAACCAUGCAGCACCUCGGCUGGUUCCUGACUUUACAGGCCAUCUCGACUUUCAUCAAUCUUACUUCCAGUCGUUCGAGCCCAGGUAAGGUUCUUCGCGUUGCAUCGAAUUAAUCCACAUGCUCCGCCGCUUGUGCGGGCCCCCGUCAAUUCCUUUGAGUUUUAGCCUUGCGGCCGUACUCCCCAGGCGGGGCGCUUAAUGCGUUAGCUACGGCACGGAUCCCGUGGAAGGAAACCACACCUAGCGCCCACCGUUUACGGCGUGGACUAC
rnacentral:misc_RNA from 1 species